GCUGUUGCAAAGGUAGAGAGAGAAGUGACGAUGGUGAUCGUUGUUGCCGCGGCCGAUAUGGAACCCAAGCAGUGGCGAAGGGAAUCGCAAGGCUCUUCCCUGACCAUUUUCUCCUGUCCCUGCGCGAGCAGUCUGCUGCCGCUCGGGACUUUUCUCGCUGAGACACCGUCAGCUCACUCCGAGCCCAGCACAGCGGCCAUCUUCGGUAAAUCCUGGCAGCAGCCCGCCUGUCCAUUGUCCUGUGUACCCAGAGGAAAGAACCACUCAUUUUUCGUGAUCAAGCUAGGGGAGGCAGGAGCAAUAAUGGCCCUGCUAUAGGACUGGCUUUUAUUUGAAUUCCAACUCUUCAACCAGCCGUACCCAGAUUUUAAAAGUUAAUCUAUCUGAGCCUCUUAUUAAAUAUUAGGUUGAUGAGAUGAUGCAUGCAAAGCGCUUAGAACAGUACUAGGCAUAAAGUAUCCGACAUAAAGGUUAAGUAAAAGUAAGGAAAAGCUAUGGGGAUGUAUUGGGUUAUCUCUGCCCAAUGACGUGUUAGUCGUAUUAAAUAUGGAAAGUGCCUUUGAUUCUCCGUGCCCAUGGGAGAAGGCAUAGGAAUGGCCUUUUUCCACCUGUAAUCAGAGCAGGUGUUUCGAGAACGCCUCAAUAUGUUUGCGAUCUCUCAAGCAGCCUUUCAGGCUCCUAAUUUCUACGAAGUUUCCGCUUUUAUUCAAAUUGGCUCACUCCUUUUUGCAGGGCUUUGUACUGAAUGAGUAUUCUCUUAAGGGUGGUGGACAAGCAAAGGCUUGGUAGCAUCACAUUUUUAAUUUCACAGGGAAAAUGGGUAUGAAACAUCUUCCCAAGUACAUCUUAGACUGCCAGCUGACAGCAAGCCAUAAUGCUCCCCAGCUCUUGGGCCCUACACCCCCUCUCCCCCAUCCCCGCUUUAGUUGUCAUUGCUCAUGGACAGCUGGUUUGGGGACCAGGUGCAGAUGAUGGGCGGUGUCUUUAAAAAACAGCAAGUGAGAAAUGCUAGUUUUGUUGUUCUAAGUUGCACUGAUGACUCUAGUAGUUAUCGGUGCUGCUUGUGAUAAUUUAUAAGGCAAUGAUAACGAAUUAAACAUAGAAAAGAUUAUUAUCUUCCACAGGAAAAAAAAAAACUGCAAACACCAUUUAUGAUCCACUUAGUCUUGAGAUACUGAGUAAUAGAACUUUCUUCUUCUAGGCUGAGUUGUGAACUUGGGUUUGGUUUCUUUCUGCAAUCCCUGCAGGGCCAUAAAUUCUUGGCCCUUAAGACUGUUCUCGGUGGCCCAUAACAGACUCAGUGAUACCAUCAGUAACCACAAUUCACACUGGAGUCAAGUUAUCUGAUUCCCACACCAGUUGGAGAACUGGAGAUUCCUUAGAACUUUUAACUGUGAUGUUUUCAAAGUUGACGUGGAAAAUUUUACAUGAAGCUUAAAAAUACAACUAAUCUGUGAUGAUAGAGAUGAGAAGAGUUAAGCUCUAAAAUUAGAAGAGCAGUUCGUUUUGAGGCAGCAUUGAUUGGGAGGGAGCAUGGAGUAUAUAAUUACACAUUUCUAUAUAAUAUAAAAAUGUAUAGAUUUAAGAUUUAUGCAUUUUAUGUAAAUUGUACUACAAUAAAACGAAAAUGAAAGAAUAAGACAAAGAUGAUCAUAUAUAGUUUAAUCAAAUAUUUUGUACAAAGUAAUUUCUGUUAAACAUUUAUAUUUUUAUGUGUAUAUGUACCUUUUACGUGUAUGUGUUAAAGAUAUGCACUAAAAUGGUAAUAACUCCUCUGCCUAUUGGGAUAAUGGAGAGUUUUGUUACUUUUUGUCUUUUUUUUUAAAACAUGUUCUGCAAUAAUAAUGUAUUGCUUUUGUAAUUAUGAAAAACAAAAGUUAUUUUGUAAAUCUUUGUUACUGAUAAGAGAUGGGUAUUCUGUUAACUGCUCAAUUCUCAUGUAGGAAAACAAAAUACAUAAUGUCUAUUUGAUAAAUCGAGAAACAGAAGCAUUACUUAGAAAUCUGAGUUACCUCUAAAAUAAUGACUGGCAUUUGAAGUUGAGGAUGGGUCUUGAGUUCCUGUGAUUUUAAGCUCUUGGAUAUGAGGGUUGGGUGAGUUCCUCUUUCUCUCUUUUAAAAUAUAUGUAUGUUUAACUUUGCUAAAUAAAAUGUAAAAGAUACAAUG